rnacentral:rRNA from 1 species
GUCCACGCCCUAAACGAUGCGAACUAGUCGUUGGGGGAGCAAUCCCUUAGUGACGCAGCUAACGCGUGAAGUUCGCCGCCUGGGGGAGUACGGUCGCAAGAUUAAAACUCAAAGGAAUUGACGGGGGCCCGCACAAGCGGUGGAUGAUGUGGAUUAAUUCGAUGCAACGCGAAAAACCUUACCUACCCUUGACAUGUCAGGAACCCUGAUGAAAGUUGGGGGUGCUCGAAAGAGAACCUGAACACAGGUGCUGCAUGGCUGUCGU